AUUAGGGUGACAAAAUUAGCUCAUGAAAACGUAACUCGUCCAACCCGUCUAAGUUUGGGCUGAUCAUUGAUCUGCCCAAUUAUUAGCUCAGUCCAUUUCAGCCCAACUCAUUUCAACAAUUCAACCCAUAAAACUUGGGCUGAUAUGAAGCCCAAAUUGACCCAUGAGACGUCUUGUCAAAAUAUUUUCAAUUUUUUUUAGCUACAGUCAAUGCCUUCGGGUGAUCUAGUUUACAACAUUUGACCAAAUGUAUAGGUUUUGUAUAUUUCGGUCAUAUUGGGAAAUAAGUUUGGCCGAACUAUACAUAUUGUUAAGUU